UACUAAAACCCUAAGUCCUCCUUUUGUUUUUCGCCAAAAGCACUUCACAGCCGCCUCAACCGCAAGCUUUGGAAUUUUUCCCCGUUUCAAGCCUUUGCAUUUUCCCCAACGGGCAACCUUCUCAUUUUUCCCCAGCGAACUUCACUUCCGUGCCUCUCUACACUCUAGGUUUGUUCCCUCUCCCACCCCCUUCUUUCCUUUACUUGUUGUGCCAUUAGGGUUCUUCAUCUCUGUAGUGUCGCCGGUAGAAUCGACCUUUGAUAGGUCAUUCUCUUUGGGGUUUCCUGGGCACGGGAAGAAGAGGCAACAUGAGUAAUUUCUGCAAUUUCUUCUGCAAGCCCAAAGACACAGAAUAUCCGCAAGAGAAAAAAAAAGUUGACUCCAACGAGGAAGUCUCCAUUGAUGAUAUUUGUCUUCCGAUCUAGAGACGAAGAAGUUCGCUGACUUCUCUUCUUCUUGCUCCGAGGUUGUCUCCCUAUUCCAGUUCGAUUCGUCCAUGGAGAUUCAGGUCAAGCAUGACAGUUGCGCCAUGGCUGCACUCGAGAUGAAGACCGAGUUCUCCAAGGAUGCCUGCACCAUCAGCGAGUGGGUGCUGAAGAGGGCAGAGGAGGCUCUCAAGGGCAAAUAAGUCUAGAAGAGGGGCAAUGAUAAGAUAUACAAAGGGAUCCACAGAAACUGGACGAACUGGAGGUGACGUGCCAUAGUUAUUCUCAGAGGAUAUAUUGUACAAAUGCACUUAUGUCAACUUCCAGUAUUACAUAGUUAUGACGGAUUAAGCUGCACAAUUAUCAGGUAAUCUAAAAUAAAAUGGUGAUUUUGAAUGUGGAUAUUGUGUAAUGCGGUAUAUGAAAGAGAUAGUCUUAGAUGAAGAUUCACAAUGGGAGAGGAAGUUUGCAGGAUCAAGAAACAAAUAAUAUUACAAUCAAUUUCAGUAUGAUGAAGUCAGAAGUAAAUGAAGCGAAUUCGUCUGGUUCUAUGUGGGUGUCUAAGUGUAAGCUAUUAUAUAAAUUUUGGAUUGUAACUAGAUAUUUAUGGAUACAAAAGCUUUUGGACGAAGUUAGUGAAAUUUGUCUUUUGUGAAUAUACUUUUGGAUUAUAUUUAGAGAUUUGUUGAUAUAAAAUGUUUUGGGUGAA